rnacentral:rRNA from 1 species
UACGGAGGGAGCUAGCGUUGUUCGGAUAUACUGGGCGUAAAGCGCACGUAGGCGGCGCAGCAAGUCAGGGGUGAAAUCCCGGGGCUCAACCCCGGAACUGCCUUUGAUACUGCGAAUCUCGAGUCCGGAAGAGGUGAGUGGAAUUCCUAGUGUAGAGGUGAAAUUCGUAGAUAUUAGGAAGAACACCAGUGGCGAAGGCGGCUCACUGGUCCGGUACUGACGCUGAGGUGCGAAAGCGUGGGGAGCAACAGGG